rnacentral:lncRNA from 1 species
UUUGUGCAAGGUUUUUAGGUCAAAUUGGUGGAUGGAUCAAGUCAUGGAAAGUUGAAAAAUCAUGUAUAAACCAACUACUUGUAACAUGGGUUGAAAGGGUGUUUUAAUGGUGUAUUUUGAUUGUAAUGGACAUAAACUGAUGUUGAAUGAGUGGUAAGGUAAUUGGAUGGACAAAAAUUAGUAGAGAAAAUGAUCAAAGGAUCCUUAGACUAGGGUUUCUUGAGACAAAAGUUUC